rnacentral:lncRNA from 1 species
AAAAAUAAUUAAAAUGGCCUUAUUACAACCCAAAACCAAAUAAUAAUAUUAAUAAGAUAAAACUUAUAAAGAAAUAAAUCGUCUACUUAUUGCAAUUAAAAGAAACAGAAACAGUAGUGUGGCCAUCUCCGAGUCCCUCACAGCUCCAAACCACCUAAGCUUAGGGAUUACCUGCACAGUUAGAAACGGGGUGAGUUUACAAAAACUCAGUGUGUAAUCCCAAUAACAAACAAACAGUGAAAACACAGCAUCAGUAGAAUCUGGGCCAAAGCCCUAUUUAGUCUUGACAUAUACUGGGCCGAAGCCUUUCAUUUAACGGUUACUGGGCCGAAGCCUUUUCAUAAAUCAUAUCACUGGGCCGAAGCCUUUACUGUAAACGGUAUGGCCCUUAGGCCCAUUUCAAUAUCACAUGUAAUGUCAAUGGAUGUAUGCAAGCCCAUUUCAAUAUCACAUGAAAUACCAAUGAAUGUAUGCAAGCCCAUUUGGGGAGACUACUCGACCCACCAUCCGCUGCUCUCCACCCGUACCAACCAAGCUCUCCAUGUGGGGAAUAACUCAACCCACCCAACCAAACUCUCCACUGGUAGCAUAGCUGUUUUAUCAUAUAACUGGAGGCCUAUCCUCUUUUAAUAACUGGGGCAAAGCCCUUUCUGAUAAACUGGGGCAGAGCCCUUUUCGGUAAACUGGGGCAGAGCCCUUUUAGCACUUCCUCCAUCAAUAUAACCCAUAUCCCAUGCAAUAUGUCAUGUAUGCAGAAUGUCAUGCCCAUAUUUGAAUCAAACAAUCACAGUCAAGUCACUCAUAUCACCAACAUAUAUUCACAAUCAAAUCCGUCAACCACACAGUCCAAGUUAGUCACUUGCCCACAAGGGCAAAAUAGUCAUUUUUCAUAUUAUAAGGGUAUUUUAGUAAUUUUACCAAAUAUCAGGGUUUUCCAUGUUCAUUACAAUUGUCAAUAUUUUCGAGUGUUUAAAUAAUGAUCUUUAACCCACUUUAUCAAAUUUGGGCUUUUGGGGCAAAAACCCCUAAUAGGCCCUACGAAUGCUGAUUUAGCCUACUUAACCCAAAUUUUACAACAAUACUAACCGUGUUAACGUGCAACUUUUCCAAAUUCCAUUUUUAAUCAAUUUUACCCAAAUGGGCCCAAAAGCCCAUUGGGCCCAAUUCCAGCCCAUCGAGGCCCACCUUACCAUUGUGCACAAAAUUGAGUUCUUACCUGUUCCAUCGAUCCAAACACCGAUCUUAUCGUAUUUAUCGCAUCUAUACCCAAACACAACAUUACAAGUUCCCAAAAUACCGGUAUUUUAGUAUUUCGGCUUCUCAGCAAAUAUUAAUCUAAGCUAUUACGAGGGUUAGUACACACCUGUUACGGGUUGAAGUUGAAACGUUUCCAUAAUCAAUCACCUAUGAUAGCCACCACCUGUCACUCCAACUUAACUAUUCCAAUAUCAAUAUAUGUAAAUCCUAAGCACAUCAGUCAUACGGAACAUAAGGGCGUAUUCAUCAUUUUACCAUACAAGGGUAUUACGGUCACUUUACCCUACAGGGGCUUUUACGGUCUUUUUACCUAUUAGGGGUAUUUUAGUCAUUUCAUCCUACAAGGGUGUUUUGGUAAAUCUACAAACCAAGGGUAUUUCAGUAAUUUUGUAAACCAAUGGUAUUCCUAUAAUUUUAAAAAAAGUCAAGGGUAUUUCUGUAAUUUUGUAAAUCAGGGGUAUUUUGGUAAUUUUACAAAUUAAGGGUAUUUCGGUAAUUUCUCAAACUAGUGGUAUUUUGGUAAUUCUAUCCUACAGGGGUAUUUCAAUAAUUUCACAAUCGAGGGUAAAACGAUAAUUUUGUAAACUGAGGGUAAAAUGGUAAUUUUGUAAAUCGAGGGUAAAACGAUAAUUUUAUAAAUCGAGGGUACUUUGGUAAUUCUAUAAAUCGAGGGUAAAAUGGUAAUUCUGUAAAUCGAGGGUAAAACGAUAAUUCCAUAAAUCGAGGGUAAAAUGGUAAUUCUAUAAAUCAAGGGUAAAAUGAUAAUUUUAUAAAUCGAGGAUAAAAUGGUAAUUCUAUAAAUCGAGGGUAAAAUGGUAAUUCUAUAAAUCGAGGGUAAAAUUGUAAUUCUAUAAAUCGAGGGUAAAACGAUAAUUUUAUAAAUUGAGGGUAAAAUGGUAAUUCUAUAAAUCGAGGGUAAAACGGUAAUUCUGUAAAUCGAGGGUACUUUGGUAAUUUUACAAUUUGAGGGCAUUUCAGUAAUUUGGUAAACUAAAGUAUUCUAAACAGGGAUAACAAUACGAAUGGGCCUAAAGCCUAUUCUCGGCCCAAAUGGACCCACACACUCCUGUGGCCCUUUUAGCCCAAAUCUAGCCACAAAUAUGAGAUUCACCUAGCCUAGUCUAAUAAUUACUACACAAUCAAACAACUUAUCCAAUUGGGCCCGUAGGCCCAUUGGGCCCACAUAGCCCCUUUCGGCCCAUUGCGGCCCGAAGUAGCCAUCCUACAGCUAGAGUAGUGAGAAAUACACACCUGAUAUGAGACUGGAGUUAAUCCACGCUUCGAGCACUCUUAGCCGACGCCCAACCCAAACGAGCACGUCAUACAGCAAAAGGGAUCAGCCAAGAAAGGUACCUUUACUCUCAUCAUGGUUCCCUCUAUUUAAAGCCAGCUUCGCAUCCACUCUUAUGUUAGCUUCUCGAUAUGGGAUCCCUCCAACAUCAGAGUUUAAAUUCAACACCAACUCUUGCCGCCCCCUGUUAGCAAAAUAAAUGCUUCUUGCUUGCCAUGGGAUUCGAACCCAUGCCUCCCCUCAGAUGCUCCACACGCUACUUGCCACUAAGCCACAAGGCUUUUUUGUGUCAUAUUUUAUCCCCAAUUAAUUAUAAGGUCUAAAGGCCAAAGUCCAGGUUCCCGUAAAAAAACUAAAAUAAAUUGCAAGAGCCAAGGCUUGAACCCAGGCUCCUAUACAACCUUAAUGACGCCACAACCACUAGACUACAAGCUUCCUUGUGUCAUUUAUUUAACACAAUAAUUUAAAAGCCCUCAUCCAAGGAUCCAGUUUUUUUUCUCUUAAUACCAAAAUUUUUGCUAAAGCCCAAGUUUGAACCCAAGAUUUCUCUAACACUUCUCAAGGCCAUUAACCACCAAAGCAGACAUUUAAUUGUGUCAAUUCAUUGCAUAAUUAAAUACCUAUAUACAACCUCCUUACGGACCCACACUCAAGGCCCAAUACUUCUAGGCCCAAAUUCGGGGUGUUACAAUUCUAUCCCCUUAAAGAAAUUUCGUCCUUAAAAUUUUUCACUCUCAGACUACACCACCACACUUCCGCUGCGCACUCUGAUACUAAUAACACUAACGUGCACCCAAAGCAUUUAUCCAUCGGAGCGGAUAGAUUUCACAUGCAAACAAUUUUAACAUUUCCAGAAAGCACACCAAAUAAAUACUAACUCUAAAUUCAAGCGUUACAGUUUACUCUAACUAGAGAGUUCCAGUAUUGUGCUACUAUCUAUAGUAGUUUCUCAAUAUAGCAUUUCAAUCUAUAAUAGUAAACAGAGUUAGAGAACUUACAAAUUUGGUGCCAGAGACUCGGUGUGCCACACCUCCAGUAACAUCUUUUCAGAAACAAGUCAAGUUUCGUUGAGAGAUUUCAAAACAAAAUUUUAGAACAACCCUUUUCAAACCCCAAUUUCGAAAAAAGAAAAACUACAAUCAUUUUCUGCUACCCAUACCACAGCUGAGUUUUGCAACUUGGCUCUGAUACCACUAAAUGUAACACCCUAAACCCGGCCCAGACGUUAUGGCCGGAUCCGACGUUUCACAUUGAAGUUUUUAAGAAAACCCAUUCCUCUUUCAAUGUCCUUCUUAGUGUUUUAAAAGAUAGUCUUUGCUAAGUUAAUAAAGUGAAUGGAAGUUGUGCACCAGGUAGGUAUCCAAAACAGAGGAUGUGAGCCAUGAAGGCUGCUUAAGUACCAAGCUCUUGAUUGGAUCCAAUCCUAGACAUGCCCGCAACCAUUGCCACACUUUGGUGCUAGGUUAGGUUUUGAGAAAAACGAGUUGGAAUUCAUUUAAGUAGAUAUUUUUGAUAAACCGAUUAAUUGUAUCGUUGCGUUAUUUUGAAAACAAUUAUCAUUUUGGAAACACACCCUAGGCCUAACUCAUAUUGUUAUCAGAAAAAUAUAGGGUAUAAAAUAAAAUAAUCCCAGAAAAAUAAUUAAAAUGGCCUUAUUACAACCCAAAACCAAAUAAUAAUAUUAAUAAGAUAAAACUUAUAAACAAAUAAAUCGGCUACUUAUUGCAAUUAAAAGAAACAGAAACAGUAGUGUGGCCAUCUCCGAGUCCCUCGCAGCUCCAAACCAUCUAAGCUUAAGGAUUACCUGCAUAGUUAGAAACAGGGUGAGUUUACGAAAACUCAGUGUGUAAUCCCAAUAACAAACAAACAGUGAAAACAUAGUAUCAGUAGAAUCUGGGCCAAAGCCCUAUUUAGUCUUGACAUAUACUGGGCCGAAGCCUUUCGUUUAACGGUUACUGAGCCGAAGCCUUUUCAUAAAUCAUAUCACUCGGCCAAAGCCUUUUCAUAAAUCAUAUCACUGGGCCGAAGCCUUUUCAUAAAUCAUAUCACUGGGCCGAAGCCUUUUCAUAAAUCAUAUCACUCGGCCGAAGCCUUUUCAUAAAUCAUAUCACUAGGCCGAAACCUUUACUGUAAACGGUAUGGCCCUUAGGCCCUUUUCAAUAUCACAUGUAAUGUCAAUGGAUGUAUGCAAGCCCAUUUCAAUAUCACAUGAAAUACCAAUGAAUGUAUGCAAGCCCAUUUGGGGAGACUACUCGACCCACCAUCCGCUACUCUCCACCCGUACCAACCAAGCUCUCCAUGUGGGGAAUAACCCAACCCACCCAACCAAACUCUCCACUGGCAGCAUAGCUGCUUUAUCAUAUAACUGGAGGCCUAGCCUCUUUUAAUAACUGGGGCAAAGCCCUUUCUGAUAAACUGAGGCAGAGCCCUUUUCGGUAAACUGGGGCAGAGCCCUUUUAGCACUUCUUCCAUCAAUAUAACCCAUAUCCCAUGCAAUUUUUCGUGUAUGCAGAAUGUCAUGCCCAUAUUUGAAUCAAACAAUCACAGUCAAAUCACUCAUAUCACCAACAUAUAUUCACAAUCAAAUCCGUCAACCACACAGUCCAAGUCAGUCACUUGCCCACAAGGGCAAAAUAGUCAUUUUUCAUAUUAUAAGGGUAUUUUUGUAAUUUUACCAAAUAUCAGGAUUUUCCAUGUUCAUUACAAUUGUCAAUAUUUCCGAGUGUUUAACAAAUGAUCUUUAACCUACUUUAUCAAAUUCAAGCUUUUGGGGCCAAAACCCCUAAUAGACCCUACGUAUGCUGAUUUAGCCUACUUAACCCAAAUUUUACAACAAUACUAACCGUGUUAACGUGCAACUUUUCCAAAUUCCAUUUUUUUAUCAAUUUUACCCAAAUGGGGCGAAAAGCCCAUUGGGCCCAAUUCCAGCCCAUUGUGGCCCAACUUACCAUUGUGCACAAAAUUGAGUUCUUACCUGUUCCAUCGAUCCAAACACCGAUCUUAUCGUAUUUAUCGUAUCUAUACCCAAACACAACAUUACAAGUUCCCGAAAUACCGAUAUUUUAGCAUUUCUGAUUCUCAGCAAAUAUUAAUCUAAGCUAUUACGAGGGUUAGUACAACCUGUUACGGGUUGAAGUUGAAACGUUUCCAUAAUCAAUCACCUAUGAUAGCCACCACCUGUCACUCAAACUUAACUAUUCCAAUAUCAAUAUAUGUAAAUCCUAAGCACAUCAGACAUACGGAACAUAAGGGCGUAUUCAUCAUUUUACCAUACAAGGGUAUUACGGUCACUUUACCCUACAGGGGCUUUACGGUCUUUUUACCUAUUAGGGGUAUUUUAGUCAUUUCAUCCUACAAGGGUGUUUUGGUAAAUCUACAAACCAAGGGUAUUUCAGUAAUUUUGUAAACCAAUGGUAUUCCUAUAAUUUUAAAGAAAGUCAAGGGUAUUUCUGUAAUUUUGUAAAUCAGGGGUAUUUUGGUAAUUUUACAAAUUAAGGGUAUUUCGGUAAUUUCUCAAACUAGUGGUAUUUUGGUAAUUCUAUCCUACAGGGGUAUUUCAAUAAUUUCACAAUCGAGGGUAAAACGAUAAUUUUGUAAACUGAGGGUAAAAUGGUAAUUUUGUAAAUCGAGGGUAAAACGAUAAUUUUAUAAAUCGAGGGUACUUUGGUAAUUCUAUAAAUCGAGGGUAAAAUGGUAAUUCUGUAAAUCGAGGGUAAAACAGUAAUUCUAUAAAUUGAGGGUAAAAUGGUAAUUCUAUAAAUCAAGGGUAAAAUGGUAAUUUUAUAAAUCGAGGGUAAAACGAUAAUUUUAUAAAUCGAGGGUAAAAUGGUAAUUCUAUAAAUCGAGGGUAAAAUGGUAAUUCUAUAAAUCGAGGGUAAAAUUGUAAUUCUAUAAAUCGAGGGUAAAACGGUAAUUUUAUAAAUCGAGGGUAAAAUGGUAAUUCUAUAAAUCGAGGGUAAAACGGUAAUUCUGUAAAUCGAGGGUACUUUGGUAAUUUUACAAUUUGAGGGCAUUUCAGUAAUUUGGUAAACUAAAGUAUUCUAAACAGGGAUAACAAUACGAAUGGGCCUAAAGCCUAUUCUUGGCCCAAAUGGACCCACACUCUCGUGUGGCCCUUUUAUCCAAAAUCUAGCCACAAAUAAGAGAUUCACCUAGCCUAGUUCAAUAUUUACUACACAAUCAAACAACUUAUCCAAUUGGGCCCAUGGGUCCAUAGGGCCCGCAUAGCCCCUUUCAGCCCAUCGCGGCCCGAAGUAGCCAUCCUACAGCUAGAGUAGUGAGAAAUACACACCUGAUAUGAGACUGGAGUUAAUCCACGCUCCGAGCACUCUUAGCCGACGCCCAACCCAAACGAGCACGCCAUACAGCGAAAGGGAUCAGCCA